AAAAAGGAUAAACAUUAUGGAUUUCCAUUAUCUCAAGCAAAAACAAAGAGUUCAAAAUAUUAGUGGUAAGAACUGUCAAAAACUUGUGAUAGCUAUGAUGAAGAGUUUGUGCAUCGACUUCUCACGAAUCAUUCACAGAGUCGAUUGUCGAUGCAAUAAUUGCUGAUUCGUGAAAACGGGUAACUUUUGCUUGUCUUAAAGUGCCUUAAAUCCAUCGUUAUAAUAUUACUUUGUUUGUAAAUUGUUUUAAAAAAUAAAUUUAAAUAUAACUUUUAAA